AUUGAACGCUGGCGGCAUGCCUUACACAUGCAAGUCGAACGGUAACGGGCCUUCGGGUGCCGACGAGUGGCGAACGGGUGAGUAAUACAUCGGAACGUGCCCGAUCGUGGGGGAUAACGAGGCGAAAGCUUUGCUAAUACCGCAUACGAUCUACGGAUGAAAGCAGGGGACCGCAAGGCCUUGCGCGGACGGAGCGGCCGAUGGCAGAUUAGGUAGUUGGUGGGAUAAAAGCUUACCAAGCCGACGAUCUGUAGCUGGUCUGAGAGGAUGAUCAGCCACACUGGGACUGAGACACGGCCCAGACUCCUAAGGGAGGCAGCAGUGGGGAAUUUUGGACAAAGGGCGCAAGCCUGAUCCAGCCAUGCCGCGUGCAGGAUGAAGGCCUUCGGGUUGUAAACUGCUUUUGUACGGAACGAAAAGCCUUCUUUUAAUACAGGAGGGUCAUGACGGUACCGUAAGAAUAAGCACCGGCUAACUACGUG
rnacentral:rRNA from 1 species